UUCUGGUUCACGUACACACGCGUUGCAAGUAUAAAUAAGCUUGCAAAACGGUGACUUAGCAUCAGUUAACCGCAACUAGCUCAACCACACAAGUGUCAAAUUCUCUGCAGGAGUAAUCUCAAAAACCAAACAAAUCAAAAUGUUCAAAUUCCUGAUUGUCGUUCUGGCCGUUAUUGCCGCUGCCAUGGCCGCACCCCAGGUCUUCUACAACACGCCGGCGUCCUACGCGUACUCCUCCGGCGUCGUCCGGCCAUCGUUCUACUCCGGAAGCUACGUCCCGACCGCUUACUCCACCGGAUCGUAUGUGGCCUCCCCCGCUGCUGCCUACUCGUACGGUGCCUACCCGUAUGCUUACCUGUAAACUGGCUGGAAAUUGGACCUGGAUUUUUGGAAAAAGGAUUUUUGAGUGAUAAGUGGAACCGGAUUCUGGAUUAACUAUUAAAAGGCAAAAAUUAAAUCUCUGUCGAACGUUUUGUGCUGUAAAAUACAAUUCAAUGAACAU